GAUGAACGCUGGCGGCGUGCCUAAUACAUGCAAGUCGAGCGAACGGACGAGAAGCUUGCUUCUCUGAUGUUAGCGGCGGACGGGUGAGUAACACGUGGAUAACCUACCUAUAAGACUGGGAUAACUUCGGGAAACCGGAGCUAAUACCGGAUAAUAUUUUGAACCGCAUUGUUCCAAAGUGAAAGACGGUCUUGCUGUCACUUAUAGAUGGAUCCGCGCUGCAUUAGCUAGUUGGUAAGGUAACGGCUUACCAAGGCAACGAUGCAUAGCCGACCUGAGAGGGUGAUCGGCCACACUGGAACUGAGACACGGUCCAGACUCCUACGGGAGGCAGCAGUAGGGAAUCUUCCGCAAGGGGCGAGAGCCUGACGGAGCAACGCCGCGUGAGUGAUGAAGGUCUUCGGAUCGUAAAACUCUGUUAUUAGGGAAGAACAUAUGUGUAAGUAACUGUGCACAUCUUGACGGUACCGAAUCAGAAAGCCACGGCUAACUACGUG
rnacentral:rRNA from 1 species